rnacentral:misc_RNA from 1 species
AUUUCCUUGCUUUUGCUUAAAAUUAUGUUUGUGAUUAAGAAGAUUUGUUUUGGUUAUUUGGAAUUGAGAAAUGAUGUUACUAGGAGGGAGUUAACCACUUCAUUUCUUGUAUUGCAUUUGCAUGUUAUUUUCAAUGCUCUCUUUUCCUUAUUGUUUCUAUAGCUCUAUGCAAGCGAGAAAAAUGAUAGCUUUUCAUCUCUUUAUUUAUUUUUUAAAUUUGGUUUACUGGGAUGUGGGAAUCUGAUCUGCUUUUGAUGUUGUAUUAUUGGAAAUGAAUUUUGUAAUUGGAGCAAAUUAUAAGGAAAUGCGGAUUGAGAAUUUUUCUGGG